rnacentral:lncRNA from 1 species
ACUUUUUAAGGUUGAUUUGAAUUGAAUUUGAGGUUUGACCUUAUUUGUCUAUCUUUUUAUUUGCAUUUUACUUUAAUUCAAAAAAUACCAAAAAUAUAUUGUUGACUUGUUAACUUGUUAUCUUCAUUUCUUUUCUGUUUCGUGUUGGUUGAUGUUAAUUUGAUUCACAUUUGAUCAAUUGGAUUUGGUUGUGGUCUUUCUUUUC